UUAAACAUGGACUGUCUGAUGUAUUUCUCAGGUUUCUGCUCUUAGUGAGUUAUUUUGGGUGCAGUCUGAGAUAUUUUUAAAGAUGCAUAUUGUUACUGAGAAUUUCUGAGGAAACACGCCUGAAUUGUGUUCCCAGAUACAAGGAGAUAAUUUAAUGAGAAGACAGUGAAGUCCCUAUAGGAAAAAAUACCACUGCUGUUUGUAUUUUAACAAUAUUUUAAAAAUUGUAGCUACCACAAUAAUUUUAGUUGCUUUAGAGAGCCAUAUGAUACUGGCCUUUAAAUACUAGAACAACUACUAAUAUGACAGACAAUUGAAAUCUCAGUAUCUGUGCACAUUCUAUCAUACAAACUAGAAAGUUUAGGGAGAGAGGGAGAACCCCUGAAAUUUGAUGAUUUUGAAAAUGAGUUCUAUGGCACCAGAAAUAUUUAAUAUCCAAACUGAAGUCUCUUCAAAAAGGAGUCCAUGAGAGCAUUCAUUAUGGCAACCUAGGCUGCGUGCACUGGACUCAUAAAUAAAGCACUUUCACUUUCCUGUACUGAAGACAGUGAAUAUUAUAGAGCCAUUUAUAGCUCUUAAUCAGAGCCUUGUGGGAGGGGGGAAGGUAAAUUGUAUGAGUGGCAGUGACUGGAAUCAUCAAGUGCCCAUGGAAGCCCACAGUCAGCAUGAUGCCUCCAGGUGUACCAGGAGAAACUCACUCCCCUUUAGAAAAAGUGUAGCAUGAACUCCCUGCAGACAUUUACCAGUGCAGAGGGUUGUUGUAAUUUCUUCAUCCAGUCCAGAUAUGCUCCUUGUGCAGCACGGAACACAAGCAGCAGUGCUACCAACCCAUUCCCUCACUGCACUUUACUGUGGAGCAGCCAUAAUUUAGUUAGCCCACAAUAUUUAGUGUACUUCAAAUGGAGAUGGCCAAACUGGAUCAAAAAGAAACAAGAACAAGCCCGAAUCUUUGCCCAUUGCUCAGAAAUCUUUUUCACAAUUGAAUCAAUUUUGAAAAGUACCACUUUCUGUAAUACUUUCCUUUCCUUGUGCAGUGGACUUCUGGACAGUGGACCUCUGGUUUCCUCUCCCUCAUCAAAGUCUCUUCUCCCGUCACAACCUGCAACUUUCCAACUGGUCUCAGUUCCCUCACUCAGACUCUAAUUCAGCAAAACAUCUAUGCCUGUGCUUAACUUAAAGCAUAUGAGUUAUCCCAAAGAAUCCUUUUAUGCUAGUCCAGCCAUGCCCAAGGGCAAUCUUUGGUGCUGGAACUAUGACUCAAAUGGUACAUGUUAUAUAUGUAGAAGGAAAUAUACAUGCAUAGGAAAGGUAUAUAACAAUUUGUCCAUUCAUGAAUUUCAAGGAAGAUAAAUAAUAGUCUGUCUUCUUAGUCCAAUAUUUUGAAAGAAUAUCUUUCCAUUUCAGCCAGCAUCUGGCCACUUACUCCAUUACACUAGUAACUGAUUUAUGAAAUGUAUUUUGAUUUCCACAGCAGCUUUUACAACAUUUCCACGUUUUUAUUUUAUGCACAUAUUAACAAAAUAGAUAUUGAUUCAUUAAC
rnacentral:lncRNA from 1 species